rnacentral:rRNA from 1 species
CCUACGGGAGGCUGCAGUGGGGAAUAUUGCACAAUGGGCGCAAGCCUGAUGCAGCCAUGCCGCGUGUGUGAAGAAGGCCUUCGGGUUGUAAAGCACUUUCAGCGGGGAGGAAGGCGGUGAGGUUAAUAACCUCAUCGAUUGACGUUACCCGCAGAAGAAGCACCGGCUAACUCCGUGCCAGCAGCCGCGGUAAUACGGAGGGUGCAAGCGUUAAUCGGAAUUACUGGGCGUAAAGCGCACGCAGGCGGUCUGUCAAGUCGGAUGUGAAAUCCCCGGGCUCAACCUGGGAACUGCAUUCGAAACUGGCAGGCUAGAGUCUUGUAGAGGGGGGUAGAAUUCCAGGUGUAGCGGUGAAAUGCGUAGAGAUCUGGAGGAAUACCGGUGGCGAAGGCGGCCCCCUGGACAAAGACUGACGCUGAGGCGCGAAAGCGUGGGGAGCAAACAGGAUUAGAUACCCGUGUAGUC